rnacentral:rRNA from 1 species
CCUACGGGAGGCAGCAGUCGAGAAUCAUUCACAAUGGGGGAAACCCUGAUGGUGCGACGCCGCGUGGGGGAAUGAAGGUCUUCGGAUUGUAAACCCCUGUCAUGUGGGAGCAAAUUAAAAAGAUAGUACCACAAGAGGAAGAGACGACUAACUCUGUGCCAGCAGCCGCGGUAAUGCAGAGGUCUCAAGCGUUGUUCGGAAUCACUGGGCGUAAAGCGUGAGUAGGCUGUUUCGUAAGUCGUGUGUGAAAGGCGGGGGCUCAACCCGCGGACGGCACAUGAUACUGCGAGACUAGAGUAAUGGAGGGGGAAGCGGAAUGCGCGGUGUAGCAGUGAAAUGCGUAGAUAUCGAGAGGAACACUCGUGGCGAAGGCGGGUUCCUGGACAUUAACUGACGCUGAGGCACGAAGGCCAGGGGAGCGAAAGGGAUUAGAUACCCCAGUAGUC